AGAGUUUGAUCCUGGCUCAGGACGAACGCUGGCGGCGUGCCUAAUACAUGCAAGUUGAGCGAUGAAGAUUGGUGCUUGCACCAAUUUGAAGAGCAGCGAACGGGUGAGUAACGCGUGGGGAAUCUGCCUUUGAGCGGGGGACAACAUUUGGAAACGAAUGCUAAUACCGCAUAACAACUUUAAACAUAAGUUUUAAGUUUGAAAGAUGCAAUUGCAUCACUCAAAGAUGAUCCCGCGUUGUAUUAGCUAGUUGGUGAGGUAAAGGCUCACCAAGGCGAUGAUACAUAGCCGACCUGAGAGGGUGAUCGGCCACAUUGGGACUGAGACACGGCCCAAACUCCUACGGGAGGCAGCAGUAGGGAAUCUUCGGCAAUGGACGAAAGUCUGACCGAGCAACGCCGCGUGAGUGAAGAAGGUUUUCGGAUCAUAAAACUCUGUUGGUAGAGAAGAACGUUGGUGAGAGUGGAAAGCUCAUCAAGUGACGGUAACUACCCAGAAAGGGACGGCUAACUACGUGCCAGCAGCCGCGGU
rnacentral:rRNA from 1 species